ensembl:rRNA 5S_rRNA 5S ribosomal RNA
GUCUACGGCCAUGCCACCCUGAGCAAGCCUGAUCCCGUCUAUAUCAGAAGCUAAGCAGGGUCAGACCUGGUUAGUACUUGGAAGGGAGACCACCUAGAAAGACCAGAUGCUGUAGGAA